UACGUAGGGGGCAAGCGUUAUCCGGAUUUACUGGGUGUAAAGGGAGCGUAGACGGUACGCCAAGUCUGAAGUGAAAUGCCGCAGCUUAACUGCGGAACUGCUUUGGAAACUGGCGGGCUAGAGUGCGGGAGGGGUAAGCGGAAUUCCUAGUGUAGCGGUGAAAUGCGUAGAUAUCACGAAGAACCCCGAUUGCGAAGGCAGCCUGCCGCAGCGUUACUGACGCUGAAGCUCGAAAGCGCGGGUAUCGAACAGG
rnacentral:rRNA from 1 species